GGCUCCGUAGGUCAGUGGUAGACUGUUGGUUUCCGGCACCAGAGGUCGCGUGUUCGAGUCGCGCCGGAGUCG
rfam:Aspergillus ustus strain 3.3904 ATSC_32, whole genome shotgun sequence.